CACGCCCAAACUCCUACGGGAGGCAGCAGUGGGGAAUCUUGCGCAAUGGGCGAAAGCCUGACGCAGCCAUGCCGCGUGGAUGAUGAAGGUCUUAGGAUUGUAAAAUCCUUUCACCGGUGAAGAUAAUGACUGUAGCCGGAGAAGAAGCCCCGGCUAACUU
rnacentral:rRNA from 1 species